UUAAUUGAAACCAAAAAGAGGUAAAUCACUGUUAAUGAUUUCAAUGAGAAUUCUCCAAUUAAA
rnacentral:tRNA from 2 species